rnacentral:rRNA from 1 species
AUUGAACGCUGGCGGCAGGCCUAACACAUGCAAGUCGAACGAGUGGCAGACGGGUGAGUAAUGUCUGGGAAACUGCCCGAUGGAGGGGGAUAACUACUGGAAACGGUAGCUAAUACCGCAUACCAUCGGAUGUGCCCAGAUGGGAUGAGCUAGGAGUGGGGGGAACGGCUAACAUAGGCGACGAUCCCUAGCUGGUCUGAGAGGAUGACCAGCCACACUGGAACGGAUACACGGUCCAGCCGCCUACGGGAGGAAGAAGUGGGGAAUAUUGGACAAGGGGCGCAAGCCUGAUGCAGCCAGGCCGCGUGUAUGAAGAAGGCCUUCGGGUUGUAAAGUACUUUCAGCGAGGAGGCGUUACUCGCAGAAGAAGCACCGGCUAACUCCGUGCCAGCAGCCGCGGUAAUUC